GGGAGGAGGGCGCUGAUAGACUUUUCUGCCUCUAUGCUUAGACAUACCCCAAGCAUUUGCAUCACUACACACACACACACACACACACACACACACACACACACACACACACACACAGAGUGGCUUUGUAGUAGAGCCUAUCUGUGUUGAUGGGUGUUUUUGUCCACCUGACACAAACCUAGACAAAGCUGGGAAGGAGAAAUCUCAACUGAGGAAUCGCCUUCAUCAGAUUGUACCACAGACAGUCUGUAGGAUAUUCUCUGGAUUGGAGGUUGAUGUGGGAGAGCCCAGCCCAGUGUGGGCAGUGCCAUGCCUGGGUAGGUGGCCCUUAAUUGGAAAGCAGCUGAGCAAGCCAUGAGGAACAAAUCGGUAAACGGCAUUCUUCCCCGGCUUCUACUUCAAUUCCUGCCUUCAGGUUUCUGCCUUGACUUCUUCUCUUGGUAAUGGAGUGUUACCUCAAGGAGGUUGAAGUGGUAGUACCCUAUGACUGAAGACACCGUGUACUUUGGACACAGGACUCCAGAAUCAGAGCAGGAUCUAACCUGAAAAACACCCUUCUGACGGACGGUUUUAGUACUGGAAGACGGAGGGUGCACAUCUAUGGUUUGCUUCAGCCAAAGAGAGCUGGAAGGAGCUGGUGUUGGUGUGAAGGAUCGUCUAGCCAGAUGGUGGAGGCAUGAUGCAGGCAACGGUGAUUGGUCUGGUGGUCAUGCAAAAAGCACACGUUGACUUCUUUUUUCAAAAUGUGGAAGUGGUGGGCAUACAAAGGGGCCAUUUAAAUACAGUAUCUUAGAAAAAUAGAUCCUAUCUCCUUUGGCCUUUUGCAAUAGCUUGGUGUCUGUUCAGGCCUUGACACCAGUGGAAAGUGACUCAGCCGACUGAGCAGUCUGUGUUGGGAGAGAGGCUGGUUUCCAGGUCAUUGUGAGAGAAGUUGGCUUCCGGUUCCGGGUCAUUGUGGGACAAUGUGGGAGAGCACAAGUCAAGAAACUGACCGUGACCUUUCCCCUAGCGCUCUUGUGGGGUGGAGGCUGCCUUUGUUAUUUCUCUGGAGUUGCUUGCAGCUAUGUUCAUGGAACGUUUGUUAAAUUCCGUGUGUUUAAUCACAGUACCAGGGAGGCAGAGGCAGUUGGAUCUCUGUCAGCAGAGUGAAUUCUAGGAUAGCCAGGGCUACUUGGAGCAACCCAGCCUUGAAUAACAAAAACCAAAACGAAAACAAGGAUAGAAGAUUGAAUCAAGCUAUGACAAUUCAAUUACUGUACACACUAGUCAGUAUUUUCUAAAUACCAGUGCUAAACUAAGACGAACGGCCCAUGACAAAACAAACAGAUGCUUUUAUUCACAUUACAUUGAUUAUUUAUUUUAAUGUUUUUAAAGAUAUAUUUAU
rnacentral:sRNA from 1 species